UUCAGUGAAUAGAGCUUGUACAGGGCAUAAACACCUCUUUGACCAAUAAUCGAUGUGUAUUGGUUGAAUAACAAAACGACCCUUAUUUAUUGUUACCCUGGCAACCCGCCGUGUUUGAUUGACGUUUGAUUUAAUAAUUCUGAUACAACUCAUAAUUCUAAUCUAAUAGAAACUCCAAAACCUCAGACAAAUAAGACUAGAAUUUUACAUAAAAAGCCGCGUUCUGCAGUACAAAAGUUAGAAGAGGCAUCUCAAAUAGUGGAAAGUGCCAAACUCCUCAACACGGUAGUGUUCCAGUGUUUGCAGGAAGAGCACGAAACAAAACAAAGGCAGAUGGCUGAAACACAUGAGCUCAAACAGAAGCAACUUGCCGAAGCUCACGAAAGGGUAA